rnacentral:ncRNA from 2 species
CCACCCAACGGUGAUGGAUUUCCACCGCGAACCGCCGGUGCUUGUGCGCCGCGCUGAUGAUUCCUACUGAACU